UACGUAGGGACCAAGCGUUGUUCGGAUUUACUGGGCGUAAAGGGCGCGUAGGCGGCAAUUCAAGUCAGCUGUGAAAUCUCCGGGCUUAACUCGGAACGGUCAGCUGAUACUGCUUUGCUAGAGUGCAGAAGGGGCAAUCGGAAUUCUGGAUGUAGCGGUGAAAUGCGUAGAUAUCAAGAGGAACACCCUGAGGUGAAGACGGGUUGCUGGGGCUGACACUGACGCUGGAGGCGACGAAAGCUAGGGUAGCAAACGGG
rnacentral:rRNA from 1 species